GAUGAACGCUGGCGGCGUGCCUAAUACAUGCAAGUCGAGCGAACGGACGAGAAGCUUGCUUCUCUGAUGUUAGCGGCGGACGGGUGAGUAACACGUGGAUAACCUACCUAUAAGACUGGGAUAACUUCGGGAAACCGUAGCUAAUACCGGAUAAUAUUUUGAACCGCAUGGUUCAAAAGUGAAAGACGGUCUUGCUGUCACUUAUAGAUGGAUCCGCGCUGCAUUAGCUAGUUGGUAAGGUAACGGCUUACCAAGGCAACGAUGCAUAGCCGACCUGAGAGGGUGAUCGGCCACACUGGAACUGAGACACGGUCCAGACUCCUACGGGAGGCAGCAGUAGGGAAUCUUCCGCAAUGGGCGAAAGCCUGACGGAGCAACGCCGCGCGAGUGAUGAAGGUCUUCGGAUCGUAAAACUCUGUAAUUAGGGAAGAACAUAUGUGUAAGUAACUGUGCACAUCUUGACGGUACCUAAUCAGAAAGCCACGGCUAACUACGUG
rnacentral:rRNA from 1 species